rnacentral:rRNA from 1 species
UAGGGAAUAUUGGGCAAUGGAGGCAACUCUGACCCAGCCAUGCCGCGUGAACGAUGAAGGCGCUCUGCGUUGUAAAGUUCUUUUGGAUGGGGCGAAAAUGGUAGAUUUAUCUACAACUGACAGUACCAUCAGAAUAAGCACCGGCUAACUCCGUGCCAGCAGCCGCGGUAAUACGGAGGGUGCAAGCGUUAUCCGGAAUCACUGGGUUUAAAGGGUGCGUAGGCGGUCUUGUAAGUCUGUAUUGAAAUCUUGGAGCUUAACUCCGAAAUUGGUAUGGAUACUGUGAGACUUGAAAUUAGAUGAGGUUGGCGGAAUGUGACAUGUAGCGGUGAAAUGCUUAGAUAUGUCAUAGAACACCGAUUGCGAAGGCAGCUGACUGGACUAAAUUUGACGCUGAGGC